CAGCGCUUGCUCUCCGUUGGUCUGGUUGGCCGCAUGGAGCCCGAGCUGGAGCACACACUGCGCAGGGUACCAGGGUUCCAGGGAGGCCGUGAGCUGGGGACACACCACGUUGUGUGAAUGUGUGUGUGCAUGCACACAUAUGUAUGUGUAUUUGACCUGGACUUUCUCUGUGUAUAUGAGUGUGUUUGUGUCUGUGUAUAUAUAUCCUUUGUGUAAGUGAGGGUACUUGGUUCUGUGUCUGGGAAUGGUUGAGUGUGUGUGUUUCUGAGUGCGUGUAAAUAUCUAUGUGUGGGUGUGUGUUUACGGGUAUGGGGGGUGGGUGUUUAUGUGUGUAUAUGUGUGUGCACGCUCACGUGCACACCAGGGGAAAGGAAGGAUCCGUGUUCCAGAACGCAGGGCAUUUUCCCCACACCUUCAGGCAUUCUCCUCCCCAGAGGCCCCCUCGUGGAGCAGCUUUGCGGGACCUGAGAACCCAGAGAUGAGCUUCCUAGGGCAAGGAGACAGCACUUCAUGGCCAUCGCCAGCCAUGACCGCCAGCUCAGAAAGAAGCCAUGGGAAGCGGGGGGCCAAGGCCUCAAGAUGGACAAGGCAGGAGGCUGUGGAGGAAGAGGACCUGCCAGGCCUGGGGGAAGAAGGUCCCCAAUCCAGGCCAGCUGCUGAGUACAUUGGGCUGGAGGCCACAUUCCCCAAGGCCACACCCUUGGCCCAGGCUGCUCCCUUGGACACCAUCCCCUCUGAGUGCGCAGCCUCAGCCCCUGGCUCCAGCGCAGACGGUCUGGAGCUGGGCGAAGAGGUCCCGGCCUCAGCCGCCUGCAGGUAUGAGCUCGGCCUGCUGGAAGAGGGGCCUGCCCGCUGCGCGCCCCUGCAGGCCCCGUUACCCAGGCAGGGCUUGGACGAUGAGCUGCAGAAACCAGGCGCCCAGGUCUACAUGCACUUCAUGCAGAAGCACACCUGCUACGAUGCCAUGGCAACCAGCUCCAAGCUGGUCAUCUUUGACACCACGCUGGAGAUCAAGAAGGCCUUCUUCGCCCUGGUGGCCAACGGUGUCCGGGCAGCACCUCUGUGGGACAGCAAGAAGCAGAGCUUUGUGGGGAUGCUGACCAUCACAGACUUCAUCUUGGUGCUGCAUCGGUAUUACAGGUCCCCCCUGGUCCAGAUCUAUGAGAUUGAAGAACAUAAGAUUGAGACCUGGAGGGAGAUCUACCUUCAAGGCUGUGUCAAGCCUCUGGUCUCCAUCUUUCCCAAUGACAGCCUGUUCGAAGCCGUCUAUACCCUCAUCAAGAACCGGAUCCACCGUCUGCCUGUCCUGGACCCAGUCUCAGGCGACGUGCUCCACAUCAUCACGCACAAGCGGCUACUCAAGUUCCUGCACAUCUUUGGCGCCCUGCUGCCCCAGCCCUCCUUCCUCUCCCGAACCAUCCAAGAUUUGGGCAUCGGCACAUUCCGAGACUUGGCCGUGGUGCUUGAAACGGCCCCUGUCCUGACCGCACUGGACAUCUUUGUGGACCGGCAUGUGUCUGCGCUGCCUGUGGUCAACGAAGACGGUCAGGUUGUGGGCCUAUACUCCCGCUUUGAUGUGAUCCACCUGGCUGCCCAGCAAACCUACAACCACCUAGACAUGAGUGUGGGUGAAGCUCUGAGGCAAAGGACGCUGUGUCUGGAGGGAGUUCUCUCCUGCCACCCUGAGGAGACCUUGGGGGAAGUCAUUGACCGGAUUGUCCGGGAACAGGUACACCGGUUGGUGCUAGUGGAUGAGAGCCAGCAUCUCCUGGGCGUGGUGUCCCUCUCCGAUAUCCUUCAGGCACUGGUGCUCAGUCCUGCUGGCAUUGAGGCCCUCAGUGCCUGAGAAGAUCCGAGUCCUCAUUCCCAGGACACCUUCCACACCCGGAGCCCACGGAGGGAGCUGGGGCAUCGGCCUUCAUCUUCACCCACCCCCGUUAGCUGGUUCGGCUCUGGUUCAGGCUUCUCCAGCCCUCCCUAAAUGCCCUUGCCCUGUCUAUGCUCCCAGAAGCCCUCGGGAAUGCCCAGUGCACUAUGGGAUGAUGAAAUUAAGGAGAAAACCUGAGUCAAGCCUAGAGGUCCCUGAACCAGAGGCCUUGGGAUUGCCCCAGGGCCAACUGCUCCAUGUCCACACACGUCACUUUCCCCUCUGCCCCACUGGGGCGGCAAGCCCAUGGAUUUAGUCAGGGGCUCUGGAUCCUUCGGCUUGUGGACUACCUGCUGCUCUGUGUCCCAGCUCCUGAGAGUCCUGGCUGUUCUUCCCCUGAGAACUGCCUUACUGGUUCCCACAGCUUUGCCACUGCCCCUCUCCUCCCCCUGCAUUGACAUUUCGGGGCUGCUGGGGGCUCCAUGGAGCAAGAGAUAUUUGCAGAGCUGCCUGUGGGAGUGGGGUCUUCCCUCCAUUCGCGUGCUCAGCUCUCACCAGCAGUGUUCUUGGUGCCCAGGGAUGGCCCUACAUUCAGAUCACUGAGGAGGAAUGAUAGACAAGCACAAAAAAGAACAGCCCAGGAACUUAGAUUUUAUGUUCCACUCAGAAAAUGCUACAGUCGUUUGACUUGAACUUGUGGCAAGAUCCCUGUACUUUCUGAUUUCAAAGACACCAAGGAAGAUCUGUAACUGGCAAACAGCCCGAGUGCAUUUCUUUUGUUCACAGAGUGUUAUUCCUCUGACAUUUCUUUUUCAUCUUUUGUUUAUAGAAAAAAACAUAAAAUGUUAGUUACUUGCACAGUAGCUACAACUCACUCCAUAAACUCUAUCAUUUGCACGACACUUCUUUGUUUUUUCUAACACUGAGUAUAAUUUCCAUUAUGAAG